UACGUAGGGUGCAAGCGUUGUCCGGAAUUAUUGGGCGUAAAGAGCUCGUAGGCGGUUUGUCGCGUCUGCUGUGAAACCCGAGGCUCAACCUCGGGCCUGCAGUGGGUACGGGCAGACUAGAGUGCGGUAGGGGAGAUUGGAAUUCCUGGUGUAGCGGUGGAAUGCGCAGAUAUCAGGAGGAACACCAACAGCGAAGGCAGAUCUCUGGGACGUUACUGACGCUGAGACGCGAAAGCGUGGGGAGCAAACAGG
rnacentral:rRNA from 1 species